GUACCGAUGAGGAGUCCCAAACUAGGAUGAAACAGCUGUCCAGUAC
rnacentral:hammerhead_ribozyme from 1 species